rnacentral:rRNA from 1 species
AUGCACGCUGGCGGCGUGCCUCAUCCAUGCAAGUCGCGCGAACAGACGAGGAGCUUGCUCCUCUGACGUUAGCGGCGGACGGGUGAGUAACACGUGGAUAACCUACCUAUAAGACUGGGAUAACUUCGGGAAACCGGAGCUAAUACCGGAUAAUAUAUUGAACCGCAUGGUUCAAUAGUGAAAGACGGUUUUGCUGUCACUUAUAGAUGGAUCCGCGCCGCAUUAGCUAGUUGGUAAGGUAACGGCUUACCAAGGCAACGAUGCGUAGCCGACCUGAGAGGGUGAUCGGCCACACUGGAACUGAGACACGGUCCAGACUCCUACGGGAGGCAGCAGUAGGGAAUCUUCCGCAAUGGGCGAAAGCCUGACGGAGCAACGCCGCGUGAGUGAUGAAGGUCUUCGGAUCGUAAAACUCUGUUAUUAGGGAAGAACAAAUGUGUAAGUAACUAUGCACGUCUUGACGGUACCUAAGCAGAAAGCCACGGCUAACUACGU